rnacentral:rRNA from 1 species
UACGGAGGAUCCAAGCGUUAUCCGGAUUUAUUGGGUUUAAAGGGUGCGUAGGCGGCCUGUUAAGUCAGGGGUGAAAGACGGUAGCUUAACUAUCGCAGUGCCCUUGAUACUGAUGGGCUUGAAUAUACUUGAGUUAGGCGGAAUGUGACAAGUAGCGGUGAAAUGCAUAGAUAUGUCACAGAACACCAAUUGCGAAGGCAGCUUACUAAGGUAUGAUUGACGCUUAGGCACGAAAGCGUGGGGAGCAAACAGG